rnacentral:misc_RNA from 1 species
UCUCCGUUGGUGAACCAGCGGAGGGAUCAUUACAGAGUUGCGAACCCUCCUAAACCAUCCCUACCCCACCUCUCACUUGUUUCCCCGGCGGCUCCCGCAGGCCCACAGCGAAUUGCGAGCCCCGGCGGGGCCCUGCCCCCCUGUGGCCGUUCACAAAAGGGCCCCCCUGAACCCUUUAGAAGAAGGACUCUCUGAGUUUGACAGAUAAUAUUCAAAACUUUCCACAACGGAUCUCUUGGUUCUGGCAGCGAUGAAGAACGCAGCAGAUCGGAAGAGCAC